rnacentral:rRNA from 1 species
GACGAACGCUGGCGGCGUGCUUAACACAUGCAAGUCGAGCGAGGCCCCUCCUUCGGGUGGGUGUCCUAGCGGCGAACGGGUGAGUAACACGUGGGCAACCUGCCCCCGGCUCUGGGAUAACUCCAAGAAAUUGGGGCUAAUACCGGAUAUGACCGCUGACCGCAUGGUCUGGUGGUGGAAAGAUUUAUCGGCUGGGGAUGGGCCCGCGGCCUAUCAGCUUGUUGGUGGGGUAGUGGCCUACCAAGGCGACGACGGGUAGCCGGCCUGAGAGGGUGACCGGCGAAACUGGGACUGAGACACGGCGCAGGCUCCUACGGGAGGCAGCAGUGGGGAGUGUUGCGCAAUGGGCGGGAGCCUGACGCAGCGACGCCGCGUGGGGGAUGACGGCCUUCGGGUUGUAAACCUCUUUCAGCAGGGACGAAGCGAAAGUGACGGUACCUGCAGAAGAAGCACCGGCCAACUACGUGCCAGCAGCCGCCGUAA